UACGUAGGGGGCAAGCGUUGUCCGGAAUCAUUGGGCGUAAAGAGCGCGUAGGCGGUCCGAUAAGUCGGCUGUGAAAGUCAGGGGCUCAACCCUUGAAAGCCGGCCGAUACUGUCGGACUAGAGUCCGGAAGAGGCAAGUGGAAUUCCCGGUGUAGCGGUGAAAUGCGCAGAUAUCGGGAGGAACACCAAUGGCGAAGGCAGCUUGCUGGGACGGUACUGACGCUGAGGCGCGAAAGCGUGGGGAGCAAACAGG
rnacentral:rRNA from 1 species